rnacentral:rRNA from 1 species
UACGUAGGGGGCUAGCGUUGUCCGGAAUCAUUGGGCGUAAAGCGCGUGUAGGCGGUCCGGUAAGUCCGCUGUGAAAGUCGGGGGCUCAACCCUCGAAUGCCGGUGGAUACUGUCGGGCUAGAGUGCGGAAGAGGCGAGUGGAAUUCCUGGUGUAGCGGUGAAAUGCGCAGAUAUCAGGAGGAACACCCGUGGCGAAGGCGGGUCUCUGGGACGGUACUGACGCUGAGACGCGAAAGCGUGGGGAGCGAACAGG